rnacentral:rRNA from 1 species
GGAGAACGCUGGCGGCGUGCCUGACACAUGCAAGUCGGACGGUUCUUGUAUCUUCAAGCUUGCUUGCAGGUGCAAGGAUAGUGGCGGACGGGUGAGUAACGCGUGAACAUCUACCCAUUGGAGGGGGACAACCCGUCGAAAGGCGGGCUAAUACCGCGUAAGCCGCGAGGUGAGAGGCUGCCUAUUGGUGGCCGCCGAUGGAUGGGUUCGCGUCCUAUCAGCUGGUUGGUGGGGUAACGGCCUACCAAGGCGAAGACGGGUAGCCGGUCUGAGAGGAUGGCCGGCCACACUGGAACUGAGACACGGUCCAGACUCCUACGGGAGGCAGCAGUGGGGAAUAUUGGGCAAUGGGGAGACCCUGACCCAGCGACGCCGCGUGAGGGAUGAAGGUUUUCGGAUCGUAAAACUCUGUCCUUGGUGAAGAAAAGGACGGUAGCCAAGGAGGAAGCCCCGGCUAACUACGUG